AAGCUAUUUGAAUAUGAUAUUUAUCUGAAUAUAAAUUUAUUUUUUCAAAUAUAUCUAACAGGGUAUGAAGUGAAGCUAUCAACUAGAAAUUGAAAGCAUCUUAUUACAGAAAAUCCUAUAGCUUGGUGAUUUGAAUGUUCAGCUGGCAGGAAAUGUGAAUCAAGCCUUCUGACCCAGCAAGCAGCACUGAAUCCAGUUCUAUCUAAGAUAAUUUUUCAGAGCUGUCAGGCAGAGUACAACUGCAGCAGUCCAAACCCACAAAGGACCACAAGCUAAAACUGGCUCUCACAUCAUAUGGUUUAGGCAUUUGGCUGCAGGUUGCCCUUUCUUUCCCCCUGUGAGCAACUGAAAUCAACAGAAAGAUUUACAGAGGUGCAAAGCCAUGAAGAUCCAAAAGCAACAGUUUGUCUGAGCAAGUAUAUGUGGUUUAGGAUGGGCUUUUGCAAGUAUCUAUGCCCUGGUCCCCAUGGGUUUGCCUACACUGCAGUAUGCAAGUACACAGCUGCACAUCCAUCCCUUAGGAAAUCACCCAGAGUCAAUCAGAGCAAAUGAGAAACCUCUAAAAAGAACUUCUUUAAACUUCUUUAUUUGGAAUGAUUUUUGUUGUUUUGUUUUGUUUUGUUUUCGAUUUUUGUUCACC
rnacentral:lncRNA from 1 species